GGCAUACGGCUCAGUAACGCGUAGUCAACCUACCCUUUGGACGGGGAUAAUCUCGGGAAACUGAGCAUAAUACCCGGCAGACCACUUAUCCUGGAAUGGUUAGUGGUUAAAAUGAUUCGUCGCCAUAGGAUGGGACUGCGGCCUAUCAGCUUGUUGGUGAGGUAAUGGCCCACCAAGGCGAUUACAGGUACGGGCUCUGAGAGGAGAGGCCCGGAGAUGGGUACUGAGACAAGGACCCAGGCCCUAUGGGGCGCAGCAGGCGAGAAAACUUUGCAAUGUGCGAAAGCACGACAAGGU
rnacentral:rRNA from 1 species